GUGCUCGCUUUGGCAGCACAUAUACUAACAUUGGAAUGAUACAGAGAAGAUUAGCACUGCCCCUGCGCAAGGAUGACACGCAAAUACAUUUAAAAAAAAAAAAAAGAC